UCCAAACACUGCAGAAACUAACACUGGAGGUGCUGAAUGAAAACAGCAUUGGAAGGGUGGAGGAGAAGAAAAAAGGGAAACACAACCGCAGGGUCAACUCAGCGUAGACAUUUUUGUACAAAGGUAGAUGAAGGCAAUGGGCUUUGGAAAGAUUCUCGGGAUUAUAUUUUCAUUUCAGCAAGUCACUUUUUGUCUGUGGGAUGGAUGACUGGACACAAGGUUGGCUCCUCACCAGUGACUGCAGAGGCAGCGAGAUGAUUCAUCUUUGCCUCCAGCUCAAGUGCCAGAUGCUUUUCACAGGGUUAAUUAAAGGCACUUGCUAAUUACAUGUCCUUAACAUGUAUAGAUAGCC